UACGGAGGGAGCUAGCGUUGUUCGGAAUUACUGGGCGUAAAGCGCACGUAGGCGGCGAUUCAAGUCAGAGGUGAAAGCCCGGGGCUCAACCCCGGAACUGCCUUUGAAACUAGAUUGCUAGAAUCUUGGAGAGGUCAGUGGAAUUCCGAGUGUAGAGGUGAAAUUCGUAGAUAUUCGGAAGAACACCAGUGGCGAAGGCGACUUACUGGACACAUAUUGACGCUGAGGUGCGAAAGCGUGGGGAGCAAACAGG
rnacentral:rRNA from 1 species